CCAAAGAUGGAGAAGCUCUAUACAGUCAACAAAAACAAGACCAGGAGCUGUCUGUGGCUCAGAUCAUGAACUCCUUGUUGCCAAAUUCAGACUUAAAUUGAAGAAAGUGAGGAAACCACUAGACCACUCAGCUCUCCUGCACAAGAAAGGAUUGACUGAGGUGGUGCCAGGAAUUUUUUUACUACAAAAUGUUAUGAUGCUUGUGUGGCUUACACAUCCAGACAACAUCUGGCACACCCACAUUCAUCUCAGCUCUUUGAAAGCAGGAAAAGGCUGAUCUGGAGGAUGCUGGCCGCUAGGAGAGAACAGAACAGGAGCUGUAGCAACACAGAAAGGGAGAGAGAAAUCAUGUCUAUAGGAGGGCAGGUUUAGCCCACCCACCUCACCCAGCCCAUUGGAGCUGCUUGGAUUUUCAGAGGUGAGCCAAGGAGAGAAGCCCAGCCCAAGAGAGGUGCAGUUUCCCAACUUUACAGCUUUCUAGACCAUGGAGGAAAGUGGACUAUCCCCAAAAUGCAGUCCAGAUCCUCUUCCUCUGGACUCAAAGAAACAAAAAAGGCAGAAGAGCCAUGCUCAUUUAUUCCUUCAAUUCAGCACAAUGAAGCUUCUUUCCAUUAGCACCAGGAAUAAUAAAAUUAUCUCAAAAAUGCCUGUCCUUCUUCCUCCAAAGGAACUAAAUGUUUAUCGAGUAGUGCUUCUAGGCUAGGAGCUUUCCUUGACCUACAAGCAACAUUUCUUAAGGGGUUCAACACAAAAAUUCUAGACAACCAACUUUGAAAUAUUGAACUUCUCUAUACAUAAGUACACAGACAAAAGAAUCAUGUACACAUACUUAAAAUACUAAA
ensembl:lncRNA